UCAAGAAAGAUACUGAGUGGAGAUGGCGUCGGAGAUAUGACUUGAACAACGACGAUAAGGAGAAUGCAUCGGAGAUAUGACUUGAACAACGACGAUGAGGAGAAUGAAGGGCAAACGAAAUGAUGAACGAUGAUAUUUUGUAAAUGAUGAGGCAUGUGUUUUGUUUUAACGUACCUAAUCGGUUUUUUGGCCGCCUACGUUUUCAUGUUCUUAUUAUUUGUUUAGUGAUCCUUUGGUAUAGAAGAGGAGAGGGACGUUAUUAUUACUAAUUAUUACAGCUUUAUCUCUUUCUCUCUUAUGACAUAUUGUUGUGCCUGUCAAUAACAACAGAUUGAUGAUGAUAAUCCAUUACCUGUACAUCAGUUAUUUAAUUCACUUUUUCAUUUCCCAGUGGCAAAAAAUGAAAAUUUCUAAGAAUCUUGAUGUCAAAUAGAUGAUGGAUCAUGCUGAACUGCAUGCAAUAUUCUGCCCCACAUUGUCUUCAUCUCCCUCUUUGCUUUGCUCUUUUUUCCCCCAUGAAACUAAUAAGUACUAGGUUUUAUCAUGUGUUCAUCUUCUUCAUAUCCUACCUUCCUUUUUUCCAACAAUUUUUGCAUCUAAAAUGGCUUUGUCUAUUCUUAAAGGAUUGCUCCAAGAUUAUGUUCAAUCUCUGAUUGAAGAGGUGACAACUAAUAUAUUAGUUUCUUUUUCAUUCAACUACUUACUUGUGUACACAAUUCUUUCAUCUUCAAGUUAUUAUUAAUUUAACAUUGUCGUAGUAUGUCUUGUAGAGGAUUGUUAAUGAGAGGUUCUCCCAGAUUCUAACAAAAUUUGAAGAGCCGGAUUGCGUUCAGCUGAUCAAUAUUUAUCUCAGAGAUGUUGAAUCAAUCUUAUCAGAACUUAGCAUCACUGUUGAUUCUUUGGACCUCGAUUUCUCUAAGUUGAGUUUGUUGGCCGAUAAAAUAGAGAAGAAAAGCACUCGCAUUGGUGCACAGCACAUGAAGCUAGCAGCUACCCGUCUCAUUGAAGCUUGUGAUAAGGAGGACCAGAAAAUUGUCUCCCAAGACUUUAAUUGGAUGAAGCAUGAAUUCACCAUUACUCAGAACAAAUUUCAGCCCGUUAUUCAGAUGGAACAGAGAAUUUUGAGAGUGAUGAGCAAGCCAAAGUAUACAUAGAAAGCUUAUGUGUUUUUUGUACGAUACGUUGAAGAUGGGGUCGUAUUAUUAUUAAUAUAUAUAUCAUCUCCUAAA